ACCACCUGCCCCAGGAGUUCACAGACUCCGAGAUCCUCCAGAUGUUUGUCCCUUUUGGUCAUGUCAUCUCAGCCAAAGUCUUUGUUGACCGGGCCACCAAUCAGAGCAAAUGUUUUGGCUUUGUGAGUUUCGACAAUCCGGCCAGUGCCCAGGCUGCCAUCCAGGCUAUGAACGGUUUCCAGAUUGGCAUGAAGCGCCUCAAAGUCCAGCUAAAGCGGCCUAAGGAUGCAAACAGACCCUACUAAGGGCUUCAGGUCUGGAGAUACCAGAGGAAGGGGCACUUCGUACCCUCUUCCUAUGACUGGCCCUGGCCUUCUCUGCACAUCUGCCCUGGGCCUUGAUUGGACUUGGGGCAAAAGCUGCUUCAUGGCCCAAAGGGCCUAGGACCUGGCUCAUUCCCACCAUCUUGCCUCUCUGGAGGGCCAGUUUUGCCUCCCUGCCUCCAAGAGCCUAUUUCCUCCCCGGUGCCCUUUUGGCCUUUUGUGAGGAAGUGAGGAAUAGGCUUGAAGGUUCAGGGGCAUCUGCCUUCUGCUAAGGCUCCUGAGAUGAGCUCUGUAACCACUGUUCACACUUGCCUCCCCUCAGUGGGCCUGAAGUAGCUGUGGAGGCCCAGGAGGACAGCAGGGCAUUCUCUUUCCCAAGCGCCCUCACCUAGCCUCUCCUCCACGGCUCGGCCUUCUCAGAAGCUGGCUCCCACAUUCCCCUCCACCCUCACCUAGAGGUAGGAUAUCUCCAAAUCCCGGGCUCCCAGCCCUAAAACUCACUGCCUUCCCCAAGGGCCCCCUCCAAGGAGGAUGUGGGGGCCCUGAGGGCUGCCUCUCUGCCAGUCAGUCACAGAGACCCUUUUUUCAUGAGGAAAAGACCUUCCCCUGAAUCCCUAAAAAUGUUUACAGUCUCUGCUGGCCCUCCAUGUAAAUACCAUGAGCACCAGGGCAUUAACUAGCCCACCCAGCCAGACGCUGCCAUCUCUCUUUCUGAGAGUUUAGACAAUGUUACCCUUGGAUUCUUUUUUUUUUUUUUUCCCUCUCUUGAUUUUUCUCCCUUUGCUUUGGGGGUAAUUGGGUAUUUUGGGGGAAGGGUACCGGGAGGGCUAAAGGGGUUUAUUACCUGAUCAUUUUCUUUAGGAAGAGGUUUUAGAGAGAAGAACAUGGGGUGGGAGUGGGAGGUGAAGGGCGAGAAGGGGAAAUCAAUCUCUGACACUUCUCUACACUUAACUUAUUUACUGAGUUUUACUUUUAAAGAGUUGGCCUUUUCUGUCUAAAUAAAGAAAAACAUUUGAAAGCAUCAACUAUGAGUUGUGGAAGGCUGAGAGUAGGGUGCUCACACUGGGAAGGGG
rnacentral:lncRNA from 1 species